UGUAAAACAUUAUAGCCUCAUUAAGUUAUGUGUACUAACAUUUGCUAUUUAGUUCUACUACACACAGCAAGUUUUAGAUAUUCAACCCAAGUCUGUAAGUUUUCACAAAGUUAAACUUAAAGUUACAUAUUGUCUUAACUACUUGUGAGUUGUCUCUGUGAUGUGAAUGUUCAUUUAACUAACUUCUGUAAGUUAUGAAUCACAACGAGAGGGAGGGGUCGUGUCCAGAAAAGACCGGGAAAAUUUCAGUUAACUUUACCUCAGACACAGCGCUCAUCUGAAAUGACCAAUAAUACAUUUUUUUUGCAAGGCUGCAAAGGAGGUAUGUAUGAUUUUUUUUGUCUUGAUGUAAUAAAGAUGCCCUUUAUACAUUUUUAGAUAAAAAUAUUGAGUUUAAAGUAAAGAAAAUAUGCAGACAUCGAGCCUGCUUUGCGAAUGCGUCGUCGUCAGGAUAUUUAUCUGCUUUCACAUCGAAGCAUCAAAUGUUAAAAGAGUUUAAUACACCAUGGGGACAAUUUUGGAUAUUUCAAUUGGUUGUGCGUAACGUUAUAUCGAUUGUUUCGAUUAUAAAUAUAGCUUACAGUUUAACAUUUAAGCUUAACAGAUUUGUUUGUUCACUGUCAAUGUGAAUUAAUCACGGGCUGAGUCUUAAGCGUUUAAGAAACGGGUAAUGUAUUAUUGUGAUGCUUGAAAGAUUUUUAUCCUCGUGCGAUUAAGGGCACGAGGGGAAUAUGCGUUGAAAUGAACGCAAAUAGUGUCUAAUAAGUGUUCGAGGAUCUGUUCGUCUGACAUAAAGGCCAUAAAAAACCUUUAAAUAGAUUUAUAUCUCUCAGUCACUUAACAAGUGGACACAAUAUCUGUUCGUUUCCACAGAAUUAUGUGUUUAAGUCUAGCAGGGCAGCUAUUUCAGGCUACUGCGCACGCGCAUAGGUUUGCAACCUCUCGCCAGAGAAUCCCCUUUACAUGUUGUUGAUGGUAACAGCUGUGUUGCGUAUAGUUAAUCUUUUUUUCUUUGAUUAUUGCGUUCUAAUCAGUGGCUUUAAAUGCUGUUCGUGCUAUCUGUGUUUCUGGAUUUACAAGUAGGACGCACGUGUUUGCUGAACAUACAGGACACCAUAUGAUUAAAAACUGCCUCCCUAUCUUGUCAUAAAUAACAGUCUCGUUUUGUCACUCUGCAUCUUGUGGCUGAUAAGCUUUUGAAGAAGAGCUGUCCAUCACUUUAUGGACAUUCAAGUUAACAUAAGGUAUUGUAAACGCAAUUUUACCUAAUACUAUCAACUUAAUACAUUUACUGUAAACUGUGCAGUUCUUUACUCAUACAAUUUCAUGUUUUUUUUUUCCUAAUCUGCUUUUAUUACUUUGUCUUGUUUUGUUACUCUGCAUCUUUGUGGCCGCCCAUCACUUUGACGACGUUCAAGUUAACAUAAGUCCGCUUGCUAUUGAAGAAGAGCUGCCCAUCACUUUGACGACGUUCAAGUUAACAUAAGGUAUUGUAAAAACAAUGUUGGCCUAAUACUAUCAACUUAAUACAUUUACUGUAAACUGUGCAGUUCUUUACUCAUACAAUUUCAUGUUUUUUUUUCCUAAUCUGCUUUUAUUACUUUGUCUUGUUUUGUUACUCUGCAUCUUUGUGGCCGCCCAUCACUUUGACGACGUUCAAGUUAACAUAAGUCCGCUUGCUAUUGAAGAAGAGCUGCCCAUCACUUUGACGACGUUCAAGUUAACAUAAGGUAUUGUAAAAACAAUGUUGGCCUAAUACUAUCAACUUAAUACAUUUACUGUAAACUGUGCAGUUCUUUACUCAUACAAUUUCAUGUUUUUUUUUCCUAAUCUGCUUUUAUUACUUUGUCUUGUUUUGUUACUCUGCAUCUUUGUGGCCGCCCAUCACUUUGACGACGUUCAAGUUAACAUAAGUCCGCUUGCUAUUGAAGAAGAGCUGCCCAUCACUUUGACGACGUUCAAGUUAACAUAAGUCCGCUUUUACUACUUUGUCUCGUUUGGUCACUCUGCAUCUGUGUGGCUGCAUAGAAGAAGAGCUGCUCAUCACUUUGACGACAUUCAAGUUAACAUAAGCAGUUGGUGCAUUAAGAUACCUCUCAGAGUUAUUGUGUCAUCUCAAGAAAUAAGGUGUGUCACCCUAGAGAGUUUUCCUGAGUCAGUCAAGGAGCUAUGUGUGACAUGGUGCAUCAUUCUGGGCUUGCAAGGAAACUUUCUUCUACACUUUGAGGAUCCAGACUUUGGAAAUGAGCACUGCAAUUUCACCGAUAUUAAAGAUCUACCAUCAGAUCGAGUGACACUGAAAGUUUUGUUGACAGCUUCUGGUUCGGUUUCUGACUUUGCAUUACAAUUACUACUAGUGCCUCAUCAGUGGAAUGGCCUGAUCCUUUUGUUAUUCCUGAUUUCUCUCAUGAUGUUGAACUUCAGUUGAGCGCUGCAAAUGAUGCCUAUGCCAGGGAUGGAACAGUAAUGGUCAUUUCCAAUGGUGUUAAAUACUAGACAAACCAGCUGAUGUGAAAUGUUGACUGUUUCCAAGGUCCAUCGGUUUAUUUUGUAAAAGACUUUCUUAGCGACUGGGUAUUAACAAAAAAGGUUUGGUGAUAGUUAUAUUGCAUUAAUUGUUCUUUAAAAAAAACUAACUCUAAAAUACGUGCCUUUUAAAAUAAUAAUAAUAAUACUAAUAAUUUGAAAAUUAACAGUGCAAAACUAUUUUUAUCAUAUUUGAGUUUUUAUCAGUAAAAGAAACAUUACACAUACCUGUAUCUAUUAUUACAACUAUGGUGUUGAUUUCACAGUUUAAAAACAUUAAAGAAACCCAUAUAAUAUUUAAAUGAAAUUUGUUUUUAAUAAACAUUUGUAAUAUUCAUUUUUAACAAAAAUGCUUUUCCAAGCCAAUGUUACAAAUUGUUCUUGUGCAAAUAAAUAGUUUUUGAGCUAAUAAUUUGCAA